rnacentral:misc_RNA from 1 species
CUUCCAUUUGACUGUCACGAUUUACGUCGAUACGAUUAUUAUCGCGUCGCGCGAAUAAAUAAUACGGUGGCGAAAAGAUUAACAUACAAUAUUAUCGACUACGGCGAAUGAUGAUGUAUUCAUGACAAUUCAAUAGUUUAUGUCGCGAUUGUAUGUUUUACUGUUAUAAUUAAUUAUCUUUCUUUCGGUAUAUAGUCGAUGUAACCUUGAAGUAUAUUUUCGCUUACUGUCAAUGAACCGUGGCAAACGGCCUACUUUUUACCUGCACGAAACGAAUGAUCGUUUUGGCCGUGUUCCGAUAUACAUUGCCAAUAUUGAAUCUAUAGUAUACGUAACGUGAAUUAUAUUUUCAGUACUGGCAGUACAGUCUUUGUCCAUAGCCUUUCGCGAAUUUAUACUUUGUUCCGUAUCGAGCGAAUUUAUGGACUCCGAGAGAAAGGAAAAAGAUUCUCCGAUUGCUGUAAUUUUUUUCUACAGCUAAGUAGAACAGUUCCUUAAACACAUAUACUGUAUUUAAACGUCACUUCCGUCAAUUAUACAGUUCUCAACAAUUUCGUACGAUUCUGCGAUACUUUCACCAUUUGCGCCAGCGAUCGACGUCAUAGAUACCAAUAGAGAAAUUACAAAUUUAGACGUCAGAGCUCGGUUAACGUUUACGUAUGUGUUUUUUUCAUAUCUUGACAUUUUCCUAAGAAAGUUCUAAUAAUAUCCUUCAUACAAUUUUACUUGGGGUAUCAAAAAUAAUUUGAACUUAUGAAUGUCAACGGGGACGAUUGCGAGAGAUGCUGCAAUUUUAAUUCUUAGGUCGGUAUUCGUCCGUUCUUAUUACAAGAUCAUCUAAAGUAAAAUCUUGAGAUGCCAAUACGAUUCUGUGGCUCCGGUAUUUAUAACCGGAUCUUAUAUUUAAGACUAUCUUAAAACAAUAUUGAAACAAGGACCGACUGUAAAUACCGGCUUGUAAUGGGAUUAUGAAAUUUUAUUACUGUACUUAGGACGGUUAAUCUUAAAUAUAAGAACUGACUAUAUAUGAAUACUAGCCUUAAAUUUAUCGCGAAACGUGAUACAUGUCAAAAAUGAUAUCUAAGAUUUCACGCUCGGAUAUCUAAACUUAAAUCCCUUCUAUCUUCUUCCCAGCAAGUCCCAGACGCUCAUCUCUCAUGACCGUCGAAAAUGCGCAUCCGAAAAAUUUCGCUUACACGUCUACGAUAGUCGCGAUUCAGUCCUCGGUCAUUGUCAUCCGAGCGUCCGUCUGCACGCAACGGAUCUGUUUUCGUUCUCCGAAACGCGCGUCAGCAACAGCAGCAACAGCAGCAGCAGCCACAGCAGCGCAGCAGUCUCUCCUGGAUCCGGAUCUCUCUCGGCUCCGUGUUUCGCGAACGCAUUUGAAAUUUGAAUCCGGCGCGGGGUGUGUGUCUCACGUCGACCAAUCGACAAGGCUGUCACGGCGCUGCGGUCCAAUCGAUGAUUGCGCUGUCGGAGGCUCGACUUGUACACGGCGUGACGUAAUGCCGUUUAAAAGGCGAGCCGCGUGGGACGCGCGAAUCAGUCGCACGACGCACGUUGCACUGUGUGCAUUGCUGGAGCUGAGGCAUCGUCGGAUUCCCAUCGGCAAGAAAGAGAAAGAGAGAGAGAGAGAGAAAGAGGCUAGUGUGCAUUGUCGGCGUGUCCCUUCCCUUCCUUCCUCUUUCGCUCUUCCUCUUCUUCUUCUUCUUCUUCUGUCGUUUCUUCUCUGCUUCCCGGUUCCUCUUCCCUCAGUUCCAUCCUACGUAUGUCGGAGGUUUCAUCGUCCAGCAUCGGUGGCUACAAUUAGACCAGGCACGAGAUCCCGUUGCCAUUACGCUCUUGAGGGAUAAUUUUAUGCGCGACGAGCUGGCGCGCGAUCAGGAGCGGAGCGAUCACGCGGGCUGAAGGAAAACCUUUUAACUCAACGGUGCCUAUGUUACGACUGUCUCGUCUCGCUGGGAGAUUGGAAAGACACGCGAAGGUUGACUUGCGUGCUUCCCAGGAGAUGCGGCCUCGCUGUUGGAGCUGAGACCGUCCCGUCGGCUGCGAAAAUUCGUGGGCCCGCAUCCGAAA